rnacentral:rRNA from 1 species
UACGGAGGGUGCAAGCGUUAUCCGGAUUUACUGGGUUUAAAGGGUGCGUAGGCGGGUUGUUAAGUCAGUGGUGAAAGAUUCGAGCUUAACUCGGAAACUGCCAUUGAUACUGAUGACCUUGAAUACAGUUGAGGUAGGCGGAAUAUUACAUGUAGCGGUGAAAUGCUUAGAUAUGUAAUAGAACACCGAUUGCGAAGGCAGCUUGCUAAACUGUGAUUGACGCUGAGGCACGAAAGCGUGGGGAUCAAACAGG